rnacentral:rRNA from 1 species
UUAGAGUUUGAUCCUGGCUCAGGAUGAACGCUAGCGGCAGGCUUAACACAUGCAAGUCGAGGGGUAACGGGGAAGCUUGCUUCCGCCGACGACCGGCGCACGGGUGCGUAACGCGUAUACAAUCUACCUUGUACUGGGGUAUAGCCUUUAGAAAUGAAGAUUAACCCCCCAUAGUCUCUUAGAGUGGCAUCACUUCUAGAGUAAAGGUUACGGUAUAAGAUGAGUAUGCGUUCUAUUAGUUUGUUGGUGUGGUAACGGCACACCAAGACUACGAUAGAUAGGGGCCCUGAGAGGGGGAUCCCCCACACUGGUACUGAGACACGGACCAGACUCCUACGGGAGGCAGCAGUGAGGAAUAUUGGACAAUGGAGGCAACUCUGAUCCAGCCAUGCCGCGUGCAGGAAGACUGCCCUAUGGGUUGUAAACUGCUUUUAUACAGGAAGAAACACCUCUACGUGUAGAGGCUUGACGGUACUGUAAGAAUAAGGAUCGGCUAACUCCGUGCCAGCAGCCGCGGUAAUACGGAGGAUCCAAGCGUUAUCCGGAAUCAUUGGGUUUAAAGGGUCCGUAGGUGGAUAAUUAAGUCAGAGGUGAAAUCUUGCAGCUCAACUGUAAAAUUGCCUUUGAAACUGGUUAUCUUGAGUUAUUAUGAAGUAGUUAGAAUAUGUAGUGUAGCGGUGAAAUGCAUAGAUAUUACAUAGAAUACCAAUUGCGAAGGCAGAUUACUAAUAAUCAACUGACACUGAUGGACGAAAGCGUGGGUAGCGAACAGGAUUAGAUACCCUGGUAGUCCACGCCGUAAACGAUGGUUACUAGCUGUUUGGACUUCGGUCUGAGUGGCUAAGCGAAAGUGAUAAGUAACCCACCUGGGGAGUACGUUCGCAAGAAUGAAACUCAAAGGAAUUGACGGGGGCCCGCACAAGCGGUGGAGCAUGUGGUUUAAUUCGAUGAUACGCGAGGAACCUUACCAGGGCUUAAAUGUAAGUUGCAUUAGUUAGAGAUAGCUAUUUCUUCGGACCACUUACAAGGUGCUGCAUGGUUGUCGUCAGCUCGUGCCGUGAGGUGUCAGGUUAAGUCCUAUAACGAGCGCAACCCCUGUUGUUAGUUGCCAGCGAGUCAUGUCGGGAACUCUAGCAAGACUGCCAGUGCAAACUGUGAGGAAGGUGGGGAUGACGUCAAAUCAUCACGGCCCUUACGUCCUGGGCUACACACGUGCUACAAUGGUAGGUACAGAGAGCAGCCACUGCGCGAGCAGGAGCGAAUCUAUAAAACCUAUCACAGUUCGGAUCGGAGUCUGCAACUCGACUCCGUGAAGCUGGAAUCGCUAGUAAUCGGAUAUCAGCCAUGAUCCGGUGAAUACGUUCCCGGGCCUUGUACACACCGCCCGUCAAGCCAUGGAAGUUGGAAGUGCCUGAAGUCCGUCACCGUAAGGAGCGGCCUAGGGUAAAGUCGAUAACUAGGGCUAAGUCGUAACAAGGUAACC